GAUGAAGAACGCAGUGAAAUGCGAUAAGUAGUGUGAAUUGCAGAAUUCAGUGAAUCAUCGAAUCUUUGAACGCACAUUGCGCCUCCUGGCAUUCCGGGAGGCAUGCCUGUUCGAGCGUCAUCAAACCCCAUCGUGCAAAUGAAUUAUUUUUUUUGCGCGGAAGUGACGAUUGAGCGAGAAUAACAAAUCCUCUCGCACCUCGUCGAAAUGAUUGCGGGCGGAAUUUGGGAUCGGGUUCCUCGGCGUAGUGUAUCAAUGCAUAUUUAUGCAACUUGCCGCGGAGUUGAGCCUGACCCACGCGUUCUCGCCGUACAAACACCUCAUUACUUUACAAGUUUUUGACCUCGGAUCAGGUAGGGAUACCCGCUGAACUUAAGCAUAUCAAUAAGCGGAGGA
rnacentral:misc_RNA from 1 species